UCGAAGAGACUGCGCGCUUUUCGAGGCAAUUUUCCCGACCCUAUGCAGUUGGAAAAGUCGAACUAUCGGGUCCGUGUGCAGUGCUUGGAUAAAAGCUUCCCAAGUCCCCGAAAAAGCUCGGGAGGGAAAGCUCGAACCGCUUUCGCCGAUGCAACUUGCCAAGCUGCACCUACUCGUCCAAAAUGGCGGUGCUGUCGGCGGAAUGCCGAUAAAUCAAAGUUCCCCAUUUGAGAAAUGCCAAGUGCCCACCGCGGCAUAACACAGCAAAGGUCAAAAUAAUAGUAAAGUAAUCGGACGCUAAUGUUGCCCCUCGAACACCAAAAAAUCGCGUCGAAAGGCUGUUAAUGGGUUAUAUACCGACUCCAAAUUAGGAACUCCUUAAUAACCCACUGACUUCUCCGCUCAUGUAUGCAUUUCCCUGAACCAGUCCGCAGUCCUCAGUAAAAAGGAGUCUAACCGAACCACUCAACCCUCGAGGAAGAGUUAUUGUAACCCGAUCCCGUGUCGCUGGAUGUACAUAAAUACCAGUUUUAUACGAGUGUGGACUACUUGGAUGGAAGGAGGAGGGAGAUGUCCGGUGCUGACGUUUAUGAAAAGCCAUCGCAGCAUCAAAGCCAAUUAAGAUACCGGGGCACAUACAAGCGCUAAAGGAAUACGCGGCUAAUUUCUGCGACAAAGCCGACAAACGAUCGAGUCGAAUCGAGUCGAGUUGUCUUCUGGGGGCAAGAAGCAAGAAGCGGCACUUUUGUCGCAAACACAGGCCAUAAAAUUAAGAACUCUGAUUGGUAACAAAUGUUUUUGUUCAUUCGAGUGAUAAAAACGCAGCGAACCGAAAAGAUAUAAAGUUCUCUUUAGUGUCUGGCCAGCGCGGCGAUGAUAAAAUAUUUAAAUGAGCGCCGAAAUGGUAAGGUUCUCUCCUCCUUCCUUCGAUCGGAUCGUCUUGGAUCGAAUUGGACAUUUAGGAAGGAGAUGGGGUUCCGAAAAAACCUUAAUGGCCGCGCACGAAACAGUGGGCUUAAACAAGAAUCCAAGGCAAAAGUGUGAAACAGGGAACGGCAUAACGCCAAUAGCAUUCGUCGAUAACCACUGUGUGUUUUUCGAGUAAGUCGGUCGGCUGUCAUGAUUAAACAAAAGUCCCAAUGCCAGCUAGGAUAUUAAAUUACAACCAAAACGACACACAGAGGUAAGAGGUAGGCAAGGAAGGACCCAUUCCGAAUCAGGUUCCCUUUGGUUUCUGGCCGACAACCAACAACCAACGACGACAACGAUGGCCAAGCCCAAAAAGCAACGAAACGGCCACGACAAAAUCAUAAAAGGCAUAAACAGUUGUAAAGACCCAAAACCACAAAAGGGCGUAGAAUCAAAAUUGAGCACUAAAACGUUAUCGAGGUCGGCUGAGAUUAACUAGCCCUUUUGCUGUUGAAAAAAAGGGACAUCGAACAUCGAACAUUCAGAUGGGCAGGUAGUUCAUACUGAAGUAUCGAAUGCAUCUUAAAGAUACUUGUGCGACAUUACGAUCAUUACUCGGUGUAACAGAUACGCGGCUGCAGACAGGUCGACCUGUCGUGUAAUCCCGUCCCGCCCGGCAAUUAUAACCAUAUAUAGCCCCCGCUGGCGACGACGACCCACAGCCGAGCUAUUGUCCCAAAAAAUUGUCAUUCACAACUGUCUCGCCGAUAAGAAACAAUUAUCGAAGGAGGCAAAAGGACGAAAGGACUGCGAGGAGAAAUCCCAUUGAAUGGCGCCAGUUUCACAAUGAAUCUUGACCGAAGGGACAGGUCUCACGUUAAGAUUUCGUCAUGCCCUUUUUAAAAUGUAGGUUACAUAAAAAUUUUUAUGGGUUAUGGAUAGUGACAACGGCUACUUUUCAGAUCGAACAACGUGGGAAUGAGAUUAUAGCAGGGGUAUAUAAUUUUACAUGACUAGUUUAAGAUCAUUCUGGUUUUUAAAAGUCAUCUAGGAUUAAUUUCAUUGAGUACUUAGUUUAGGAAAGCGUUCGUGUUUGUAUUCUUUCAUCUUAUUUACCAAUAUUUAAACUAAAGAUUUCUGCUUUUUCUAAGGUUCUCAUAAUCAUAGAUCACUUUCUAAGUACCCUUUAUAUAUACACAAAAUGCAAUAAAACUAGUCAGCUCU